AAGUCCGCGAUCGUUUGAACUUCAACGAACUGCAAUAAUGGCGUAUAUUAGUUGACAUAUGUAGUGUUUAAAUAGCUAGAUCAUUGUAGUGCUGUAGAAUACAGUUAACUUAAAUUUUUGUCAUUGUUCCUCAGUUACGAAAUUUAAACUGUGUGUAUGAAAUAUUUUCCUCUAGUUGGGCUUUGUGCAAUUGUCUAGAGAUGGAAACCACGCAGUCUGAAAAUAACGUUCAAGGGAACUGCAAUGACAACAGUGCCCAAGAAGCAGAAGAUCGGAAUGAAAUAUAUCAAGUAUGUUCUGCAAGGCUAUCGCAUAAUGAUGUCUCGCCAUUGCGGAGAGGUUCAUCAGGACUGUUUAGUGCUCAAAAUAAUGGGCUAGAAGACAUCCAUGAGGAAGAUUAUGAAGAUGAAUGUGUUCAUUCAACACACAAUCCACCGCCUUGCACAACUUUUACAGUUCUACCUUCACACACUACCCCUCCGUCAAGACAAUAUAAAGUCCGAAAUCCAUUUGAUGCUGCAUUAAUCAAAAGACUUUAUCUUCCCAUUCUUAGUCCAUCUGUUUUUAAAAAGGUUGUAAGCCCAACACAGUUAUUUCUGCAAUGCUCACAUUGUCUCUAGUCCUUGGGGCCCACAGGUACCGAACAACACAUCUACAUUGUUUGUGGAAACAAAUGACAGUUACAGCUCUCACAAAGAGACAUCCUUAGAUAACACCAAUGAUGGACAAGAAGCACUAUUUGGAGAUCUCAGCUGCAUGUCUGCAAAUAAAGAAGUUUCAACCCAGACUGCAUUAACAUUACCACUAGAAUUACUACCAGAUUUGGAAGCUGCUUUGAAACCAUACUUCGCAUCUGUAGAGGUAGGAUUGGCUUUUCCAUAUACUGCAUUUGUACCUUACUUCAUGGAAGUGUGUGGUGAGACAGACUGAGUCAAAAUAUCUAAUAAACAUGAUGGCACAUUACUCAAAACUGUAUUAGUUUGGAACAAUAAUGAAAGUGGAAGUACUGGUUUCCUUAGUAAAACUGCAU